AUACGGAGGAUCCGAGCGUUAUCCGGAUCUAUUGGGUUUAAAGGGAGCGUAGGUGGAUUGUUAAGUCAGUUGUGAAAGUUUGCGGCUCAACCGUAAAAUUGCAGUUGAAACUGGCAGUCUUGAGUACAGUAGAGGUGGGCGGAAUUCGUGGUGUAGCGGGGAAAUGCUUAGAUAUCACGAAGAACUCCGAUUGCGAAGGCAGCUCACUAGACUGUUACUGACACUGAUGCUCGAAAGUGUGGGUAUCAAACAGGAUUAGAUACCCUGGUAGUCCACACAGUAAACGAUGAAUACUCGCUGUUUGCGAUAUACAGUAAGCGGCCAAGCGAAAGCAUUAAGUAUUCCACCUGGGGAGUACGCCGGCAACGGUGAAACUCAAAGGAAUUGGCGGGG
rnacentral:rRNA from 1 species